rnacentral:rRNA from 1 species
GACGAACGCUGGCGGCGUGCCUAAUACAUGCAAGUAGAACGCUGAAGAGAGGAGCUUGCUCUUCUUGGAUGAGUUGCGAACGGGUGAGUAACGCGUAGGUAACCUGCCUUGUAGCGGGGGAUAACUAUUGGAAACGAUAGCUAAUACCGCAUAACAAUGGAUGACCCAUGUCAUUUAUUUGAAAGGGGCAAAUGCUCCACUACAAGAUGGACCUGCGUUGUAUUAGCUAGUAGGUGAGGUAACGGCUCACCUAGGCGACGAUACAUAGCCGACCUGAGAGGGUGAUCGGCUACACUGGGACUGAGACACGGCCCAGACUCCUACGGGAGGCAGCAGUAGGGAAUCUUCGGCAAUGGGGGCAACCCUGACCGAGCAACGCCGCGUGAGUGAAGAAGGUUUUCGGAUCGUAAAGCUCUGUUGUAAGUCAAGAACGAGUGUGAGAGUGGAAAGUUCACACUGUGACGGUAGCUUACCAGAAAGGGACGGCUAACUACGUGCCAGCAGCCGCGGUAAUACGUAGGUCCCGAGCGUUGUCCGGAUUUAUUGGGCGUAAAGCGAGCGCAGGCGGUUUGAUAAGUCUGAAGUUAAAGGCUGUGGCUCAACCAUAGUUCGCUUUGGAAACUGUCAAACUUGAGUGCAGAAGGGGAGAGUGGAAUUCCAUGUGUAGCGGUGAAAUGCGUAGAUAUAUGGAGGAACACCGGUGGCGAAAGCGGCUCUCUGGUCUGUAACUGACGCUGAGGCUCGAAAGCGUGGGGAGCGAACAGG